UACGGGGGGGGCAAGCGUUGUUCGGAAUUACUGGGCGUAAAGGGCGCGUAGGCUGCUCGCUAAGUCGGGUGUGAAAUCUCUGGGCUUAACCCAGAAAGGUCAAUCGAUACUGCGGGGCUAGAGUGCAGAAGGGGCAACUGGAAUUCCUGGUGUAGCGGUGAAAUGCGCAGAUAUCAGGAGGAACACCAGUGGCGAAGGCGGUGCUCUGGGCCGGAACUGACGCUGAGGAGCGAAAGCGUGGGGAGCAAACAGG
rnacentral:rRNA from 1 species